rnacentral:rRNA from 1 species
UAGGGAAUCUUCGGCAAUGGGGGGAACCCUGACCGAGCAACGCCGCGUGAGUGAAGAAGGUUUUCGGAUCGUAAAGCUCUGUUGUUAAGGAAGAACGAGUGUGAGAAUGGAAAGUUCAUACUGUGACGGUACUUAACCAGAAAGGGACGGCUAACUACGUGCCAGCAGCCGCGGUAAUACGUAGGUCCCGAGCGUUGUCCGGAUUUAUUGGGCGUAAAGCGAGCGCAGGCGGUUAGAUAAGUCUGAAGUUAAAGGCAGUGGCUCAACCAUUGUAGGCUUUGGAAACUGUUUAACUUGAGUGCAGAAGGGGAGAGUGGAAUUCCAUGUGUAGCGGUGAAAUGCGUAGAUAUAUGGAGGAACACCGGUGGCGGAAGCGGCUCUCUGGUCUGUAGCUGACGCUGAGGCUAGAAAGCGUGGGGAGCGAACAGG